rnacentral:pre_miRNA from 1 species
AGUGGAAUUGCUGGGUCAUAUGGUCAUAUGGUAACUUCAUAUUUAAACUUUUGAGGAACUGCCAGACUGUUUCCCAAAGUCACAGCCCCAGUUUACAUUCCCAUUAGUAGU